ACGGAAGGCAGCAGUGGGGAAUAUUGCACAAUGGGCGAAAGCCUGAUGCAGCGACGCCGCGUGAGCGAAGAAGUAUUUCGGUAUGUAAAGCUCUAUCAGCAGGGAAGAUAAUGACGGUACCUGACUAAGAAGCACCGGCUAAAUACGUGCCAGCAGCCGCGGUAAUACGGAGGAUCCGAGCGUUAUCCGGAUUUAUUGGGUUUAAAGGGUGCGCAGGCGGCCCUGUAAGUCAGCGGUUAAAUCGUGGAGCUCAACUCCAUCCCGCCGUUGAUACUGCAGGGCUUGAUUGCGGUCGAGGUUGGCGGAAUUCGCCGUGUAGCGGUGAAAUGCAUAGAUAUGGCGAAGAACUCCGAUUGCGUAGGCAGCUGACCAGGCCGUAAAUGACGCUCAUGCACGAAAGUGCGGAGAUCGAACAGGAUUAGAUACCCUGGUA
rnacentral:rRNA from 1 species